UGGGGAAUAUUGGACAAUGGGGGCAACCCUGAUCCAGCAAUGCCGCGUGUGUGAAGAAGGUCUUCGGAUUGUAAAGCACUUUCGACGGGGACGAUGAUGACGGUACCCGUAGAAGAAGCCCCGGCUAACUUCGUGCCAGCAGCCGCGGUAAUACGAAGGGGGCUAGCGUUGCUCGGAAUGACUGGGCGUAAAGGGCGUGUAGGCGGUUUACACAGUCAGAUGUGAAAUCCCCGGGCUUAACCUGGGAGCUGCAUUUGAUACGUGUAGACUAGAGUGUGAGAGAGGGUUGUGGAAUUCCCAGUGUAGAGGUGAAAUUCGUAGAUAUUGGGAAGAACACCGGUGGCGAAGGCGGCAACCUGGCUCAUGACUGACGCUGAGGCGCGAAAGCGUGGGGAGCAAACAGGAUUAGGAUACCCUGGUAGUCC
rnacentral:rRNA from 1 species